rnacentral:misc_RNA from 1 species
GACAUACUGGUCGAAAUUCAGUUGAUGCACGUCUAUCGUCAAUUCGGAUAGUAUUUUUUUCUGGUUAGAGAAAAAUUGUAUAAUAAAAGAAAUUUUCCUUGAUUUUGAAAUAGCUUGGUUUAUGAGAGUAAAGAUUUCAAUUGCGUAAUAUGGGUAGGAAGAAGAUUCAGAUUACUCGUAUCGGCGAUGAGAGGAAUCGACAGGUAACAUUUACCAAAAGAAAGUUUGGUUUGAUGAAGAAAGCUUACGAGCUAUCGGUGUUAUGCGAUUGCGAAAUAGCUUUAAUUAUAUUCAACUCUGCUAACAAACUAUUUCAAUAUGCUUCAACGGAUAUGGAUAAAGUUUUACUGAAAUAUACAGAGUACAAUGAACCUCAUGAAUCGAGAACGAAUAAGGAUAUAAUAGACGUUUUAAAUAAGAAGGAAAACAAGGGAUGCGAUAGUCCAGAUAGUGUAGAUGGAUCUGGUGGAUAUUCCUUAAAUUCUCGAUCAGAUUCGGAUUAUACUAAGAUUAAUCAGGAGUUCCAAUCGAUGCUGGAAAGAAAUAGAAUGCAGCAACAGCAACCACAACAGUACCAACUCCCAGUUCACACGCAAAAUCAACAACACUUUUCCUCACCCUCCCCCAAUUUACUACAUCCGACGCAAUCGGCUACGCUGGUGCCACCUACUGGCAUGUCAUCAAGACCUUCAUCAGCCGGUUCAGCAUGCGCAAUUACAGAUUUAUCGAUGAAUGGCUAUCAGACGUCUACGUCGCCACAUCCUGGACAACCGCCUUCUCCGCAUCAUUUGAAAAAGUCCCCAAAACAACAACCUCCAAAUCAACCGCAGCAAAGAGCUCCAUCGGGGAAUUCGCUUAGAGUUCAUAUACCUCAGAGUAGCGAGAAUCGGACUUCGAUAUCCGCGGCACAAACUCUUUCGACGCCCAUAGUGUCUUUAGCGACUCCCAGCGUGCCUGCAAGUAAUUAUCCGCAGUCGGCCAUCUCAUCCGCGUUUCCGUCAGAUUUUAGCGGAGAUAUGCAGAUAACGGGCUUCCAGUCUCCUGCGGUAAUGAACCACUGGUCGCAGCAAUCGAUUCACACAUCGGCUAGCUUACGAUCUCAAGACGAUGGUGGGCAGGGACAAUUGACAAGCAUGGCUCCUCAACGUAACGGAAUGCUAAUCAAAUCCGAACCCGAUUCCCCUCCGGGUCAAGCAGACACAGGCCAAUGCUUGCGGCCGCCAUCCACUUCCGGUCACGUAUCGCCGCAUUUGCACACGGUUACCGAAAGUUCUUCACCCGUACCUCAGCAACUUAACGACUAUGACAGUGGACCCUCCUUGAAACGAGCCCGGAUAGAGACGACACCAUGGAAUACGGCCACUUAAACCCAGAAACCUAAACCUAUUCUUUUUUCAAAAAAACAUAACAUUCCCUUCGUCUGCUGUCUAGUUCGUCUCUUUUGUUAAGAAAUGUGCUUGUCUUUUUAUGUAUUACGCUUGUAAAUAUCAAUUACUACUCGUAUAACGUUUAUAAAGUUGAAAGCUUGUUUUGCGCAACGCGCAGUGACUGCAUUUUUACGCUGUUUCUACUACACAGAUACGAAACGGGGACAUAGGCACGACCGUGUUGUCAGCAUUGCAUACGUCUGAACAUUAUAUUCAAUGUAUAGAUAUUGUUGCGGUGAAAAGUAACAAAAAAUAUAUCCACGUUUGUGUAAUAAAUGGUUCUUGUCUAUUUCUAUUUACAAAAAAUGUUUUCUUUUUUCUAAUUCAUAAAAAAUUUUCGAAAAAAAUAAUUCGAGUUUCUAUUUUUUCUUAUACAUAACCAAAUAUCUUUUUAAUGUGUAUACAUAUAGUAUUUAUAUAUAUACUAUAUACUGUACAGUACAGUUCUUUUUCAUAACUUUCCUUUAUUAUAGGAGUUUUUGUUGGUAGCUCAUUUUGUUUAUUAAAUGAUGUUUUACAGUUUUUUUUGUUUGUGUUUAAUUAUAAACAUCUUACUUAUAAAUAUAGAUCUAUAUUUAAAACUUUCACUAUAUAUAUUUAUAUAAGUAUAUAU